ensembl:lncRNA
CACAGGAAGUCAUGGAUGAAAGAAUAAGAGUUCCUAAACCCUCAGGGAAAGUUAAACAAGUCAAAUAAAAAUGGAAACAUUCUUCAGUUACAAUUUGUUCAUUAGAAUUUCUAGGGGUGCCAAUAAUUGUGACACAUCCUGGUUUUGUUUUAUUCCUUCCUUAGUUGUAUUAGAGAUAUUUCUUUAGUUCUGUGUUAACUAUGAUAACAUUAACAUGUGAAAUGAGACGAUGCUAUUAGAAGAGCUUUCCUGCCUCAUCAAUAAAUAAAAACAAGGACGAAAACGAGGACGAGAGAAUGGAGAGAGUGAGAGGGAGGGAGGGGAGAUGGAUGGACAGAGAGAAAAAAGAGAGCGUGAUUAAAGGAGGGAUGUAGAGAGACGAGGAAUGAUGGAGAGGCAGAUGGAGAAAGAUGGAGAGACAGAGGUUGAUGCAUGGUGAGAGAGAGAAUGGGAAAGAUGGAAAGACAAAAUGGAGAGACUGAAAGAGCGACUAAAAGGAUAGAGAUGGACAUACAGAACUAGGAGAGAAAGAGACAGACAGACAGACAGACAGACAGACAGACAGACAGACAGACAGGCUGAAGGUCAUUCCUCAUGAUCUUUAAUGCAGUAAGCUUAUGAUGUCUUGUUUCCGCGUCAUUGCUCCAGAUGGCCUGAAAGAGUCAUCAAUAUUUCACUUUUACUGGCUUCCAAUGAGUGUGUAUGUGUGUGUGUGUGUGUGUGUGUGUGUGUGUGUGUGUGUGUGUGUGUGUGUGUUGUGUGUGUGUGUGUAGCCGAGCAAGACUCCAUUUUCUAAUGAGCAUCCAUGUUAAGAUCUGAUGCAAGCAGAAGUAAAUCUUUCACACCGAUGAUUAAUGUGUGUGUGUGUGUGUGUGUGUGUGUGUGUGUGUGUGUGUGUGUGUGUGUGUGUGUGUGUGGACCAUACUUUAAGAAUAUAAAACAUGUUCUUAUGAACAAUACAAAUAAAAAUCUGCAGUGUGUGUUUAUUGGAAAAGUUGCAUACUGCAGAAGUGUGUGUUGGUGUGUGAGUAAAGAAUCCGUGUGUGUGUGUGUGUAUGUGUGUGUGUGUGUGUGUGUGUGUGUGUGUGUAAUGACUAAGACAGCAUGCUGAAUGAAAUGGGAAUUGACUAAAGUAGAAGGGCGGGGCUGCGGGUGACAGCAGGGGACACAAAGGGUAAUUACAGUGCCUGGAGUGUGUGUGUGUGUGUGUGUGUGUGUGUGUGUGUGUGUGUGUGUGUGUGUGUGAGGCCCAGCUGUCAGUAUCGUACUCCAUUAUUCAGCUCUCCAGGGUUUUUUCACUUCACCGUCAUGUUAAAAAUAACAGUUUGGUCUCGGCAGUUUUCGCUUUCACAAACAUUUUUCCCGCUUUUUUUCCCUCACAGCUUGUUUCUGGAUAUUUAUCCUCACUUACUUUCCUUUUCUUCUUUCCUUCCCCGACGCUUUCUUCCUUUUUGCUCAUUUUAUUCUUCUUUUUUUUUCCCUUUGAUAUUUUGAUUGAGAAUUUUCUCAAAUUAUUUUUUCUCAGCAGGUUUAUUUUAUUUUAUUUUAUUUCCACACUUCCAGGAACUAUGUCUACGUGAAUUAAUGUUAUUUUAAGAUAUUACUGUAUUUUAAUAAUUAUUAAUAUUUUACAUAUUGAGACAUUACAUUUAUAAUUAUUUUCCAUUUUAUAUAGAUUUAAAUCAU